rnacentral:rRNA from 1 species
UGGGGAAUUUUGGACAAUGGGGGAAACCCUGAUCCAGCCAUCCCGCGUGUGCGAUGAAGGCCUUCGGGUUGUAAAGCACUUUUGGCAGGAAAGAAACGUCAUGGGUUAAUACCCCGUGAAACUGACGGUACCUGCAGAAUAAGCACCGGCUAACUACGUGCCAGCAGCCGCGGUAAUACGUAGGGUGCAAGCGUUAAUCGGAAUUACUGGGCGUAAAGCGUGCGCAGGCGGUUCGGAAAGAAAGAUGUGAAAUCCCAGAGCUCAACUUUGGAACUGCAUUUUUAACUACCGGGCUAGAGUGUGUCAGAGGGAGGUGGAAUUCCGCGUGUAGCAGUGAAAUGCGUAGAUAUGCGGAGGAACACCGAUUGCGAAGGCAGCCUCCUGGGAUAACACUGACGCUCAUGCACGAAAGCGUGGGGAGCAAACAGG